rnacentral:rRNA from 1 species
UACGUAGGUGGCGAGCGUUGUCCGGAUUUACUGGGCGUAGAGGAUGCGUAGGUGGAAAUUUAAGUGGGAUGUGAAAUCCCCGGGCUCAACCCGGGAACUGCAUUCCAAACUGGAUUUCUUGAGUACAGGAGAGGAAAGCGGAAUUCCUAGUGUAGCGGUGAAAUGCGUAGAUAUUAGGAGGAACACCAGUGGCGAAGGCGGCUUUCUGGACUGUAACUGACACUGAGGCAUGAAAGCGUGGGUAGCAAACAGG